rnacentral:misc_RNA from 1 species
GGAGGAGCCUCUUGUAAAUUAGGAAAUUCUCCGGCGAGGGUUUCAAAUUCCGGUAUCAAAUUAACGGUUUUGCUAUUUCUUGAUUUUCCUAUCAUUGUUCUUGUCGAAAGUUGUCAAUCUGUGAUUCCUGAAUUUCUUCUUGAGUUCUUGGAAUCUUCCAGAUAUCUACGCGGCUGAGGAAAUCUUGGACCGGGUGGUCGCUGUCACCAAGAACCCAACCGGUUGACAAGGGAAAAGGCAUCGCCUUCACGGGUGAUACUGCUCGGAAAAGUUUGACGAGCCAAGAUUACGGAAAUAUGGAUCAAGAAGAGCUAAUUGAGAAGGUCUCCAAGCUCGAAAAUGAGCUUUUUGACUACCAAUACAAUAUGGGUCUUAUCCUGCUUGAGAAGAAGGAGUGGUCUUCUAAGUUUGAAGAAAUCAAGCAAACCUUAGAAGAAUCAAAUGAGGCCUAUAGAAGAGAAC